AUUGAACGCUGGCGGCAGGCCUAACACAUGAAAGUCGAACGAGUGGCGGACGGGUGAGUAAUGUCUGGGAAACUGCCUGAUGGAGGGGGAUAACUACUGGAAACGGUAGCUAAUACCGCAUACCAUCGGAUGAGCCCAGAUGGGAUUAGCUAGUAGGUGGGGUAACGGCUCACCUAGGCGACGAUCACUAGCUGGUCUGAGAGGAUGACCAGCCACACUGGAACUGGGACACGGCCCAGAUUCCUACGGGGGGCAGCAUUGGGGAAUAUUGCACAAUGGGGGCAAGCCUGAUGCAGCCAUGCCGCGUGUAUGAAGAAGGCCUUCGGGUUGUAAAGUACUUUCAGCGGGGAGGCGUUACCCGCAGAAGAAGCACCGGCUAACUCCGUGCCAACAGCCGCGGUAAUAC
rnacentral:rRNA from 1 species